AUUGAACGCUGGCGGCAGGCCUAACACAUGCAAGUCGAGCGGAUGAAGGGAGCUUGCUCCUGGAUUCAGCGGCGGACGGGUGAGUAAUGCCUAGGAAUCUGCCUGGUAGUGGGGGAUAACGUCCGGAAACGGGCGCUAAUACCGCAUACGUCCUGAGGGAGAAAGUGGGGGAUCUUCGGACCUCACGCUAUCAGAUGAGCCUAGGUCGGAUUAGCUAGUUGGUGGGGUAAAGGCCUACCAAGGCGACGAUCCGUAACUGGUCUGAGAGGAUGAUCAGUCACACUGGAACUGAGACACGGUCCAGACUCCUACGGGAGGCAGCAGUGGGGAAUAUUGGACAAUGGGCGAAAGCCUGAUCCAGCCAUGCCGCGUGUGUGAAGAAGGUCUUCGGAUUGUAAAGUACUUUAAGUUGGGAGGAAGGGCAGUAAGUUAAUACCUUGCUGUUUUGACGUUACCAACAGAAUAAGCACCGGCGAACUUCGU
rnacentral:rRNA from 1 species